UCUAUAGACUUCUUGACUUCUCCGUUCCUAUUUUCCCCAUCCAUCUCCUCCAAUCCCCUUUCUCUUUUCCUAAAUCUUGCUUCUCACUCAAAAAUUGCUGCUGCUGGAUAUCUCCCAUCAGUUUUCUUUGCUGAUUCACUUCAUGGAGGUUUAUCUUCCUCACCUGGAGCCACCCCCGCAGCUGGUUAUGGCACACAUGUUUAGCAUGGACGGCGGCUUGUCUCUGUCCUCGGACGCCUCUUCGGUCGUCUAGGCUUGUAAAGGGCGGCGGUGGCGUCCGUGCAGUUUCUUUGGUCAUUGAUUUGAUCUCCUGCGGACCUGCAGCCCUCUUGCAUCUAGCUUGAGUAUGAGAUUGCUGGCUACGUUUUCUUUCACAAGUGCGCAAAGCAGACACAUCGUUUCUAUUUCUGCUCGAGGUAGUCCGGCACAUCACCCUCAUCCUUCACAGCGGUAACAUUCUUCAAUGCUAGACCUGAAGUCAAUCUACGCGAUGGAGGAGGUGAGCUUGUCGAUCUUCACAGUAUCGUUGUCGUCGUCCUUGGAGGUGAUAUGGGCAUGGAUCUCGUCUGCUACAGCGAGCUUGGAUCCACAUCGCAUUGUAGCUGUCCCCGAGCAAGACAGCCCAGCAGGUCGCCUUGAUCCUCGAUAGAGGUAGCCUGAUUUCGGCGACUCAUUCUUCCACCUUCUAUUUGUACCGCACUACUGCAAAAUGCAUACAAAGGCAUCCAUAUUGAACUACAAUUUAAGCUUUUCACACACCAUUCUAUAUGGUCUCUGCAGAUGGUCCAGCUGCUAGAGGUGAUCUGCUCACCUGAUGGAACCAACGGCACACAGUCGAGGAGAUUGGGGCACUCGCUCAUGAGUGUUCUUUUUUUUUUAGGGAAAACCUGAUGGAGCCGAUGGCACAAUCGAGGAGUUUGGGGCCCUUGCUCGUGGGAGUUCUUUUUUAGGGAAAGCCAUCAUGGCGAUGUAUAUUGAUUUGGAAUAACAAUAAUUAUCCGUAAGAACAUCAAGUAAAAAAGUUGGAGGGUGGCAUGUGAUGCUAUGAGUUGAACCUAUGGUGAGUUUUGUUUAUGAGAUUGUGAGAUUUGUGUAAAGAAUAUGGGACGGAUCAAAAGAUGGAUUGUGAGAUUAGCGUA